AUUGAACGCUGGCGGCAGGCCUAACACAUGCAAGUCGAGCGGAGCGGCGGACGGGGGAGUAAUGCCUAGGAAUCUGCAUGGUAGUGGGGGAUAACGUCAGGAAACGGGCGCGAAUACCGCAUACUAUCAGAUGAGCCUAGGUCGGAUUAGCUAGUUGGUGGGGUAAAGGCCUACCAAGGCGCCGAUCCGUAACUGGUCUGAGAGGAUGAUCAGUCACACUUGAACUGAGACACGGUCCAGACUCCUACGGGAGGCAGCAGUGGUGAAUAUUGGACAAUGGGCGAACGCCUGAUCCCGCCAUGCCGCGUGUGUGCAGAAGGUCUUCGGAUUGUAAAGCACUUUAAGUUGGGAGGCGUUACCAACAGAAUAAGCACCGGCUAACUUCGUGCCAGCAGCCGCGGUAAUAC
rnacentral:rRNA from 1 species